GGCGGAGUAGCUCAGUAGGUUAGAGCAGAGGAAUCAUAAUCCUUGUGUCGGGGGUUCAAAUCCCUCCUCCGCUACCG
rnacentral:tRNA from 6 species